rnacentral:rRNA from 1 species
UGCGGUACACUGACCGUACUAAGGUAGCAUAAUAAUUUGCCUUUUAAUUGGAGGCUAGUAUGAAUGGUUUGACGUGAAAUAUACUGUCUCAACUAUAUUUAGUAGAAUUUAACUUUUAGGUGAAGAGGCCUAAAUUUUGUGGGAAGACAAGAAGACCCUAUUGAGCUUUAAAUAUUUAUGUUAGUGGGAGCCUAAGAUUUAUAUGAUGGUCAUUACUUCUAAGUAUGUUGGUUGGGGCGACCGAGGAGUAUAAAGUAACCUCCUUGUAAUGUAAAGAAUUUGUUAUCAACGAACCUGUAAUAUAGGUUAUUCGGUAGUUACCAUAGGGAUAACAGCGUAAUUCUUUUGAAGAGUUCAUAUCGAAGAAAGAGAUUGCGACCUCGAUGUUGGAUUAAGGUGUCCUAAGGGUAGAAGAA